rnacentral:misc_RNA from 1 species
CAAUAAGAGUGUUUAUGGCACUCUUCAAAAAAUCCAUACCCACCUUGUGUGCAACGUAAGAAGAAAAAAAGAAGAUGCGAGUCAUGGGGAAACCCAAGUCUUGCUCCCUUUCUUUUUUCUUUUCCACAUACACCUUUCUAUUAGUUCCUAUUGUCUGAAGCUGUUAGAGAAUGUACUAAUUCUUAAACA